rnacentral:tRNA from 1 species
UGGGGUGUAACUCAGGGGUAGAGUGUCGUCCACCUUGCAUGUGUGAGGCCCUGGGUUCAAUUCCCAGUACUGCCA